rnacentral:lncRNA from 1 species
GUGAAGGAGCGGAGGACUGAGGAGGGGGCGUGCACGCAGGGAGGGACCUUAGAGUUGACAGCCUUUGAGGUGAGAGCGAGACUCGGAAAGUAGGUCCAUGUGUGCCCUGCGCGUGCUCCGACACCCACCGACACUCACAUGCCCGGUAAGCACAGAUUGCAAAGUUCCCCAGAGGGAAAGGAAUGGGAGCAGGCACACUCAGCCUUCAGGUAUGAUUUGUUAGUUGUUGUUCUGCUGCCUUUUUUCUCCCUCCAGUUUUCUUCUUGCAAAGAAUGCCUUUAAUUCUAAUUCUAGCAGACUGUAAUUUCUAAAAGUGGCCACAGCAGUAAAUCUGGUCCCAUAUGAUCUUCCAGGACCUUGCUGCUUCACAUUAAGAGGUAAAGUCUACUAUCUUUCCCCUGAACUGGGGUGGGUUUUUAAGGCUGCUUCAACAAAAAAGAAUAGGGUGGAAGUUAAUGUUGUAUAACUUCCAAGAUGGGUCAUAAAUGGUAAUAUGGUCUCUCUGUCUGUCUGUCUCUUGUAAUGCUACCCUUUGGAAACCAGUCACCAUGUUGUGAGGAAGCUCAGGCUACAUGCAGAGGCUAGUAGGUGUUCUGGCCCACAGCCUCAGUUGAUCUCCCAGCCAUAACUAUAAUCAAUCAGAAGACAGGUGAGUGAGUAAGCCUUGGAGCAAAGACCAGAAUGAACCCAUCUCCAAAGCGCCUUUCUGAAUCUGUGAUGCACAGACUCAGUGAGCAUAAUGAGUGUUAUAUCAUUGAGUUAUGGGAUAAUAACUUAGCCACAGUAACCAGAUCACUGAGGAUGGAGUGACCUCAAUUUAUCAGAAAAU